rnacentral:lncRNA from 1 species
CACCGUAUGUUAAUAGUACUUCAGUUAAAAAAAGAAGCAUAAAAACUGAAGCAUUAUACUGAAAAGAAGGGGAAAAAAGAAAAGAAGAAAAAGAAGGAAGAAAAGAAUGAGGGAGGGAGCAAGAGGAAGGGAAGAGGGAAAGAAGGAAAGAAAGAAAGAGAGAGGAAGGAAGAGGGGAGGAAGAGAGGAAAGAAGGGAGGGAGGGCUGAGCAAGCAAAACAAUAGGAGAAACAACCUAAUGGGUCUUCACAGCAGACAGGUGAGCGAGGCCAGGCUUUUGUUUAGAGAGAAAGCUCAUAUGGUGCAGAAGACAGCAAACUUGGUUUGUGAAGUCAUCAUCCCCCCAGGGGCUUUGUUGUGCCUGGUUUUAGGAGAGGCCCAAGAGGGCUCAACGAAGCACAACUAAUAAUAGAAUUAAGAAAAUGAUAGCAAUUUGGGUUAUUUAGCCUAAAAGAAAUGAAGGUUUAAAAAUUGUCUUAAGAGGUUCUAGAUGAAAACACUGACCAAUUGCAAGCCAUUUUCACAGAGGCUAGAAGAAGAAAUGGCCUUAGAUUGAUGAAGAGAGCUUGAAGAAAAGAUCCUCGCCAGGGAGGCUGAUGAUAGCUUGGCAUGGACCGGUAGUGGGCUUGCUCAGCCCUGGGAGGACUGAAUAGAAGAAACACCAUCUGUCCUAGAAGAUCCAGGGAGACUUUCCAGAAGGUUCCUUGAAGUUCCAAUUCUGUGAUGUCUCGAUGAAGGUAUAAACUCACCUAAUCCAUUCCUGAAUGAGCUAUCCUGGAACUCGAAGUGUCUGUGUUGUUGGCCAGGACUGGUCUUGGGAGAGCUGGUGGCCAUCUGUGUGAUGGGAGGGCGGGCUGCCAAAAUACCAUUCCUACCGCUGAGUCAUGCUGUCUGAAAUUCUACCAGGUGACAAUCAUUCUUUGGUCAUCAAGAGCCCAAUGGAGUGUGAGUGAUGUCCUUAUGGUUUUCUUUUUUUCUUUCUUAAGUUUAGGAGGGAAUAGGUGUGGAGAUUUUGAGAUAACUAGUUUAGAAUUUUCUCUCUUAAGAGAUUGUUCAGAAAAAUUAUCCAAAACUUAGAUAGAAGCCAAAGGGGCAUGUCCUCUCAAGGUCAUACCAAGGCACUGUUUGACAGGCUCACCCAAGGAUUAUUUGAUUCUUGAGGGGAAGAUAUUCCUGUUUGACUUAACUAUUUACUGGUUGAUAAGCUCAGACACAGUAGAGUUACAUGUUAACCUGUCGAUUUCUGUCCCUUAGAAAAAAUAACCACAAAGGUUAUGAUUUAAUUCCCAUGUAGGGCAUUAACCAGUUUUAUACCUAACUGAGCAGUGAUUUUAACAUUCUGUGUUGUGUUUAAAGGUCAUAGAUUCUGCAAAUGCUCUUUGAACCAUCUUUCCUGUCGUAUUGGUUUGCUCAUUAAUGAGUCAAAUACAUUUUGGACACAUGUUCAUUUUAUAUUUGUAUGAGAGUCAUGAGUUUAACUUUUUGAAAGUUGUACUUUGACAGGAAGGAGAUGAGGUUAAAGCAUUAGAACAAUUGCUUUAAAAAGCAUGACAUGGAUUCUCUUCUGUAUAGAUGUUUAUAUAUGAUCAUUCUUUGAAAGAGAAAGACUCAUUAAUUCCCCUGUAAUCCAUAAUUAGCCAGCCCCUUGAUGAGCAAGAGGUAAUUGGAUUUUUUCUAACCUUAAAAGAAGUGUUGGUUUCUUUUUGCUUUGCGUGGGUUUUUUUGUUUUUGUUUUUGUUUUUGCUGAGAUCUGUGAGUGAAGCCAGUGCCGCCAGAAUGGAAAGGGAGGGAUUCUGAGUGCUAGAAUGCUUAGGAUUCUGAUGCGUGCACGUGUCACAUUGGAGAGCGAGAUUUCAGAGGCAGAGAGAUUCAGGGGAAGUCCAGGCCCUGCCACCAUCAUGGGAGAAGGUGGCUGAAACUCACCGGAGUACAAGAGUUAAGGCAGAGAGUGGCUGGGAGCCAAGGGAGUCACCUGUGGGAAUGUGGAACCCCUCCCUCAUGGUGACAGACUCUGGUGGUGGCAGCAGUGCUACCUGCCCAGUGAUGCCUGGUGACCAGGAGCUAACGUUUUAGACCAUUCUGGGUAUAAGAGGCACAAAUGGAGAAGUUGGCCAUAAGAGGACAAAUCAUCAUAAAAAUUAUUUGGGUGACACAUGGGCCGAGGAUCUACUUGAGGUUCAUGCCUGUCUUGCCCUAAGAUGCAGAGACAAAGAUAAAUCUCAGAUGCCAACCUAUAUGGGGUUGAGAUCACAUUUGAGGCCUUUCUAAUAGCCUCCUCUGUCUCAAGAGGCUCCACAGAUAGAGAAAGAUUAAGACAUCUCCCCAAGCCGUAGAAAGUGACACACAGCCCCAGGAGCCUUUGGACCUGCAGGGCUAUAUUUCACUCUGGAUGGCAGUCUGCAGAUUCUUAAAAUCAUUCCCUACCUCCUACUCAGGGGCUGUUGUUCUGCUCCUGUUCAAGGCUCAAAUGGCACCUCAUGCUGUUGGUCCCAACCUGGGAGUGUUUAGGCCCCCCAUUCACAGGCAUCUCCCAAAUACAACCAAACACCACACUUCUGCACCUUCAUUGUGCGGAGCUGUUUCACAGCACGGAUCUCUAUCACAGCUGCAAAUUCCAGUGUUAUCUCUGUUGUGUUUUUGAACCUGUUUGCUUUUGAUUAUGGUUUGGUUUUGAAGGGGAAGAGUCACACACAAUCCGGCUCCCUGUUUUCUUUCUCAGAUGGAGUAAUAAAGCUUAUUUACGGUGGAAUUGUUUUUUUCCAUCAUAGCAUAUUUAAUUUUAUUACUCUACUGCUUUGUGCUUUGAAUUGCAUAGGGGAAGCAACGCAUAAAAGAAUAUUCCACUGGGUUUUUUUUUUUUUCCCUCUUGUAGUUGAUUGUGGAAAAAAAGGAUGUAGCAUCCUAUUAGUCAUUCUGUACCAUGAUGAUUUUUUGGGCUAUGACCAACAAAAUUACAUUUUACACUUGAAAGAACUCUCCAAUUGAACCUUUCUAUUCAACGUAUGUGGACAUAAGAUUCAAAAUAUGGCCAGCCUCAUGCAUCAUAUCCAAAGUCCAUUUCAGCCGUGGUUGAUGAUGCUCUCCAAGAAUGCAGUUUGCUGCAGAGCAGGAUGGUUUGGGCUUCUGAUGAGAAGUUUGAGCAUGCUAUUUAUUUCGUUCUUCUUUCUAUUAAAACCGUUUGAAAAAUCACUGAACUCUAGGUAAUUUGGGACGGCCUUUGGUUACAGCUACCUUGGCUCCUCAGCUUAUUUCUUCAUCACUCUGGUCUUUGCUUUCUUAGGCCUGGAAGAAGGACAAGGAGAAUCUCUCUCUUUGGAACCAAGGGAGUUCCUUUGAUCCUCAAAUAGGCUUGUGAAAGAUAUGGUUGUAUUGUAUGUGGAGCCUUUUCACAUGUUCUAAAGUCUUAGGUUUGAAUCCACAUUUCUUACCAUUAUUUACCAUGUUUUGUAUGUUCCCUAUCAUGUUGGACCAAAUAGGUACUUUAAUGAGAAGUUUCUGUCUCUGCCAUUUUCAUUUCUAGGAUAAAAAGAUGAAAUCAGAGGGGAAGGUGUGUUUGCCAUGCCAGAAAUCUCCACAAAUUAGGAGAAAGACUGAUCAAACCCCUAUCGUUCUAUCUCUAUUUUUACAAAUGAAAGGGAAGCAGAUUUUUACCAACUUGUGAUGCCCUCCAAGAAAGAGGUGGGGAUGCUGAAUGUCCCAAUUUUCAGUGGCUCCUUGGUUGCUUUAAAAACAUACUACUGAUACGGAGAAAUCAGAACCUUCAUAUACUGCUGGUGGGAAUGUAAAAUGGUGCAUCUGUUUUGGAAAACAGUCUGGCAGUUCCUCAAAAAGUUAGACAUAGAAUUACCAUAUGAUCCAGCAUCCCACUUUUAUAUAUGUGUAUACCGAGGAAAAUUGAAAAACACUCGUCCACACAAAACUUGUGCACAAAUGUCCAUAGUAGUAUUAUUCAUAAUAGUCAAAACGUAGAAACAACCCAAAUGUCUAUCAUCUGAUGAAUGGAUAAAUAACAUACGGCGGAAUAUUAUUUGGCUGUAAAGAAGAAUUCUAGCAAGAUAUUUAAACCAAAAAUAGAAAUAAAUCAUUGGGGCAAUUCUUUACUUCUGAUCGAGGAGGGAUUUAUAUCUAAACACGUAACAAUAAUAAUAAUGCUCAUUUGUUUAUUAAUAGGUACUAUUCUACAUAUCUCAUUUGAUUCUUAUGAUAACCUUCAAAAAUAGUUAUGAUCAUUCCCAUUUUCAGACAAAGAAACUGAGGUUCAAAGACAUGCAAUACUUUCUGAAAUGUCUUAGUUGUUCUGUGUCCCAAGCCUGGGCCUCAUACAGUUUCUGAAAUGUGGGAUGCCCUUGACCUCAGGCUGGCAGAGUCAUAAUGGUGGAAAGAACCAGCUGCAGUGUGGUUUGGUGUAUCCCAGCAAAUAUUUUUUCAGAUGAAGAAGCAGCCUGCACGGACACAAUGCAGUUGACUAUAGUUCUUAAUAGUACAGUUCUAGUUGGUAAUCAGAUAAAAGAUUGCAUAGUUUUGUACCUGUACCCCAAUAAUAAAUGUGGGGGCAGUUCUGAAUUCAUGGGUAAGAGGAAACUUUGUAAUAUGUUAAUUCAGUCAUUCCAAUUACUCCUGGGUUAUUCUUUUCCCAUCCAUGGCUUGGUCUGGUUUGGAAGCAAGCUUCCUGGGCCCAGGGGUAGAGUUGUUCUAGUUUGGCUUCAGGAGCCAAGUUGCUCCGGGCAGGUCCUGGUUUUGGUACUGGUGGCCCCUUUCAGCUCCCAGCCUCUCCCAGCACAGCAGCUAGAGCUUCUUUGCCAGUACGGACUGUCCUAGCCCCGAUGUCCCUGAGCUAUUUGAAGGAGUUUUUCCUGUUGGACUCUGCCAGACUUUGCACUUUUUGUUUUUUGGUUUUUUCUUUGUUUGUUUUUGUUUAGAUUUUAUUUAUUUAUUAGACAAAGACCACAAGCAGGAAGAGUGGCAGGCAGAGGGAGAGGGAGAAGCAGAUUUCCCACUCAGCAGGGAGCUUGAUGCAAAGCUCAAUCCCGGGGCUCCAGGAUCAUGACUUGAGCAGAAGGUAGGCACUUAACUGACUGAGCCACCC